UGGAUCACACUGGCUUUGCCACGUGAGAUGCUGAUUACUGCCUUCGCAGGAUCUCAGGACUGUGAGUUUGUCUCCUAGCUUCCAUUUUUCUAUCACAUUGUUGUAUAGGAGAUCCUCAGCUCAGUACUUCUAAAUGGUCUCAGUGCAGAAGUCACCUUCUCCAUCCAGACUUCAAAUCAAUUGCAGCGUCAUUUUCUAAGAAUUAUUCGAUUCUUCAUGUGACUCAUCCUCUCUACUGCCACUUGGAAGUAAGUUUCCAAUCUGUCCUCCUC
rnacentral:lncRNA from 13 species